rnacentral:tRNA from 1 species
GCCGAGGUAGCCAAAUCGGUAAAGGCGUCUGCCUGAUAAGCAGGUAGGGCGCACACCAGUGCCCUUGCGGGUUCAAGGCUUUUGAGUGGGAAGUGAAUCUCCCGCCCUCGGCG